rnacentral:lncRNA from 1 species
GUCAACUUUGGUUAUUUUGGUUAUUACCGAAACCAAACCAAAAUAAAAUGGUUAUUACCAAAACCAAACUGUAUCUAUGUAUAAAACCGUAUAAACCGAAGUAUAAAAACCAUAUAAGCCAUAAAUCGAACCGAAUCAAACCGACAAAACCGAAUGCAUAGACUGAGGUACACGGUGACCCCCUCAACCACCUCGCCCUCACUACCAGUAAACUCAUC